rnacentral:rRNA from 1 species
UACGUAGGGGGCUAGCGUUGUCCGGAAUCAUUGGGCGUAAAGCGCGCGUAGGCGGCCCGGUAAGUCCGCUGUAAAAGUCAAAGGCUCAACCUUUGAAUGUCAGUGGAUACUGCCGGGCUAGAGUCCGGAAGAGGCGAGUGGAACUCCUGGUGUAGCGGUGGAAUGCGCAGAUAUCAGGAGGAAUACCGAUGGCGAAGGCAGGUCUCUGGGCUGACACUGACGCUCAUGCACGAAAGCGUGGGGAGCAAACAGG